rnacentral:rRNA from 1 species
CCCUUAGAUGUUCUGGGCUGCACGCGCGCUACACUGUCGGAUUCAGCGAGUCAUAUCCUUAACCGAAAGGUUUGGGCAAUCUUUUGAAAGUCCGACGUGAUGGGGAUUGAUCAUUGCAAUUAUUGAUCAUGAACGAGGAAUUCCUAGUAAGCGCGAGUCAUCAGCUCGCGUUGAUUACGUCCCUGCCCUUUGUACACACCGCCCGUCGCUACUACCGAUUGAAUGGUUUAGUGAGAUCUUCGGAUUGGCGCCUACGCGGCUUCUCUGAGGCCACGCUGGAUGCCGAAAAGUUGCUCAAACUGUAUCAUUUAGAGGAAGUAAAAGUCGUAACA